UAGGCUGAAGCCCGCUGGAUUGGGUGUUUAGUUGUUAAUUAAAUUUUUACGGGGUCGUGGCCCGUCAGUCU
rnacentral:tRNA from 1 species